GUGGGGAAUAUUGGACAAUGGGCGAAAGCCUGAUCCAGCCAUGCCGCGUGUGUGAAGAAGGUCUUCGGAUUGUAAAGCACUUUAAGUUGGGAGGAAGGGCAGUAAGUUAAUACCUUGCUGUUUUGACGUUACCAACAGAAUAAGCACCGGCUAACUUCGUGCCAGCAGCCGCGGUAAUACGAAGGGUGCAAGCGUUAAUCGGAAUUACUGGGCGUAAAGCGCGCGUAGGUGGUUCAGCAAGUUGGAGGUGAAAUCCCCGGGCUCAACCUGGGAACUGACUCCAAAACUGCAUGACUAGAGUACGGUAGAGGGUAGUGGAAUUUCCUGUGUAGCGGUGAAAUGCGUAGAUAUAGGAAUGAACACCAGUGGCGAAGGCGACUACCUGGACUGAUACUGACACUGAGGUGCGAAAGCGUGGGGAGCAAACAGGAUUAGAAACCCCAGUAGUCC
rnacentral:rRNA from 1 species